rnacentral:rRNA from 1 species
GACGUAGGGCGCGAGCGUUGUCCGGAUUUAUUGGGCGUAAAGAGCUCGUAGGUGGUUUGUCGCGUUGUCCGUGAAAACUCACAACUCAAUUGUGGGCGUGCGGGCGAUACGGGCAGACUGGAGUACUGCAGGGGAGACUGGAAUUCCUGGUGUAGCGGUGGAAUGCGCAGAUAUCAGGAGGAACACCGGUGGCGAAGGCGGGCCUCUGGGCCGAUACUGACGCUGAGGAGCGAAAGCGUGGGGAGCGAACAGG